AUUUAUAUACUAUAUUAUAGAUACUUAGUAGGUACUUACACGAAGUUGUACCUGUUGUCUAGUAAAUUUUUAAAUUUUUCGGUAACUAAGUUGUGUGAAAUGAAAAUUUAAUUGAAAAACGAAAAUCUUUCCUCCGAAAAAUCAAAAUCACACGAAGCUUCCAGAAAUACGUCUUGCUAUCUCUAUUUCAGAUUUCUAGUGAAAAUCAAAAGCAAACUUAAUGCAAAUACUUUUCUUUCCCCGCUUCAUUAGGAUUAAUUACCUAGGUACCUAAUAUGAUGACAUUAUAAUAUUAUACAACACUUCACAACUGUGUAUUGGUAAUUGUAUCUGUUUAAAAAAAAAAAUAGUUUUUAGGUACCUAUAUAGUUUUAAUUUAAUUUGAUGAAUAUUGAGUUAUUGAAUAUGCUUAAUUAAUUAUUAUUUAUUAUACAUUGUCCUCAGUAUCACCACAUAGGCGGAAAUCGGGGGGGGGCUUGCAGAAACCAAGCCCCCCCAGAAGCUUAAAGUACAGCUAUUUUAAUACAGUAAACAGUAGUGCAUAUAAGUGUAAUAAGCAUAUUAUAUUGCUUGAAUGGCGGACAAUUUCAACCCGGACAUUUUCCCCCAACAUAUUUUCGAUGCGAACCCCCAUUUUUUUUUUAGGUUUAUUAUUUAAUAUUUAAUAAGAAAUUAUUUUUUCCAAUAAAAUAUAAUUUUUUUUUAUAAAUAAAAUCAAUUAUACUAUAAUUGCUUAUUAUAGUAGAUGUAUAUUUUUGAUCAAUUCAACUACUUGAAAAAAUAAAAUAAUAGUAAUAUUAUAUUUAAAAGAUAGUCUAAAUAAAAAAGUAAUAGUACUAGCAUAUUGUAUUAUUCGCUAGUAACAUUGAAAUCUAAAAUUGUAUCUAAAACCCAAUCAAUUGCUGGGCUGUCAAAAAUUAUCUUAUUAUUUGAUUUAGACUAUUAAGAUAAGAUUCUUCUACAAUCUUAUAUCUUCAUGAGCAAAGGUUUUGGACUUUUAGUAGUGGUUUAGUGGUUGUAACUCGUAAUUCGUAAAGUGAAAAAUAUAUAAAAUAAAAAUCGUUAGAUUUUUUUUUUUUGUUUGUGAUCGUGGAUAAAAUAGAAAUUAUUAAAACUGACAGGGGAGGUUUAAAGAUUGUUUUAAUGAUUAUAUAUACCUAUACAAAAUAAAAAAAUCUUGCUAACAACAAAAUUAGAUGGGAGUGUGUGGAAAAAAAAAAGAAAAAAUGUAAAGAGUUUUUGCAGAAGAAACGUCUAAUUUAUCAAAUGAAGCAAUGGUUUUAUUGACAGAUGAAAAAUCGAUCAAAAGAUCACUAAGAAGAAUUCGGAAUAAAUAGUACCUUUCACUAUGCCCUUUAUCGGAAUUGAAAAUAAAUAGUAAUUGGGCUACUACAGGAGGUGCCGAACCAAAACAAUUUUUAUUAUUUGAUAAUGAAAACAAUGACAAUCGAUUAAUUGUUUUUGCGUCUCCCGAAGGAAUGUUAGAGCUGUCAAAAUUGACCAAGUGGUAUAUGGAUGGAACAUUUUUCACUUGUCCUAAAGAAUUUCAUCAAGUAUACAUAAUUCACGUAUGUAUUAAAAACACAUCAAUUUCGUGUGUUUAUGCUUUAUUACAAAGAAAAAAUAAAGAAAUCUAUGUUGAACUUUUAUUAAAACUUAAAAGUAUGUUGUCUGAGUUGAAAUUAAAAACUAUAAGUAUUGAUUUUAAACAAUCAAUGAUUGAAUUAGUAUUUGUCGACAUUAAUAUUCAAUGCUGUUAUUAUCAUCUUCCCAAAGUAUUUGGCGUAUAGGUAGUUCAAAACAUAGGAUUAGCUAAAAAGUACAAACUACAAAGAAAAUGAAAAUGUUCGUUAAAUGGUUGCCAUGAUUAAAGGUUUAGCAUUAUUACCUCUAAAAUAUGUUAAGAAAAGUAUGUCUGUGUUGUAUGAUUUAUCAAAAGACUUCAAUGAUCCAGAUAUCGAUGAACUAUUGUUAUACUUUGAUAGAACGUACGUCGAUGGGACUUACAAGAGAACUACUACACAAUCAAAUGGUUUGUCAUUAUGGCGAUCUUCACUAAUAUUUCCUCCUUAUUUAUGGAAUGUACAUAAUGCUACAAAGAAAAACAAAUGUAGAACAAAUAAUAUAAGUGAAGAGUGAAGGCAUAUGAGUGAAGGUUUCAAUAACAAAUUUAAAACUUUGGUAAGAACUCAGCAUGCAAAUAUUUGGAUGUUCAUUGAAGCACUACAAAAGUCAAAUUCAAUGGCAAUUAAUAAACUAUUAAAAAUUAAAACAGAUACGGUUUUUUUAACAGAAAUUCAAAUCAGAAAUUAAAUGUGUUUCACAAAAUAUAUCAUUUUUAUGUCGAAAUUUUUAGACUAUAUUUCAUAAAUAUUUUUUAACCUUUUAUACUUAUAUAAUUUUUUUACUUUUUGUUAUACAAUUUUUAUUAUAUUUAUGAAAAAAAAAUGAAAUUUUUAAUCUAUUUUACUUACCUAUAUGUAUACAUUUUUUUACAUUUUAAUUAUAUUUAUGAAAAAAAUAAUUUCUUAUUAAAUAAUAAACUUAAAAAAAAUGGGGGGAAAAUGUCCUACUAUGCCAAAAACAGUCGGCGGGAAAUUGUCCGGUUACCAUAUUACGGUUACAUUAUUUAUCAUAAAAUAAAUAUAAAAUUGUCUGUUAAACAAUUCUCAUAACUUCAUUUAAUUUUAAAAACGUGAAAUCAAAAAACUAUUUUAAGAAAUUCCUUAUUUCUGAAUUUAUUUUGUAAUUCCAAUUUAGACCAAAUAAUUGAAUUUUUCUUUACCAAAUUUGACCUAAAUAUUAAAAUCCUAAAAUAUACUUGAAUCCGUUCAUUCAAACUGACGGCCAAAAAAUUAUUAAAUAUUAUGUCUUAUAAUCUGUUUUAAAGUUACUUUUUUAAAAUAGAACUACUCGAACUAGAAUGAAAGAAAUAAAUAGAGUUGGACUUCUAGUACUUAAAAAUCUAAAAGUAUGUAUGCACUUAUGCACUUAAACAUCAAGAAUAUGAGCUAAAAAUAUGCUUUUUUAUUUUAUUAUUUUAUCUAAUUAUAAUAUUUAUGUAGAGAAUCAUUAAACUUCGAAACAUAACUUUUUAAACGAAAAGGCAAUGAUUAUUUUUUCUUUGCAUAUUUGAAAAUGAAAAAAUAAUAUUUAAAGUUUGAAAUAUGUAGAUGGGGUACGCGACGAAAAUAUUUUAUGCAGUGCUCUCAAUGAUAAAACUAGUACGCGCCAAAAUAUGACGGACAACUAAAGUUCACUUCCUAUAUGAAUUACGGUUUUAUCGGCUUAUUAAUUAUUAGUCAGAUAGUAAAUUUAAAAUUACGUAACCGAUAAUGAAAAUAUUAUUUUUAAAUGGAAAAUUUACUAUUUUGUCCGAUAAUUUUAUAAUUUAUUUCAAAAAUUUGCCAAAUAUGUUCUUAAUUUUUCUAAUAUACCCAAAUAUGUAUUUUUAUGC